GACGAACGCUGGCGGCGUGCUUAACACAUGCAAGUCGAACGGAAAGGCCCUGCUUUUGUGGGGUGCUCGAUUGGCGAACGGGUGAGUAACACGUGAGUAACCUGCCCUUGACUUUGGGAUAACUUCAGGAAACUGGGGCUAAUACCGGAUAGGAGCUCCUGCUGCAUGGUGGGGGUUGGAAAGUUUCGGCGGUUGGGGAUGGACUCGCGGCUUAUCAGCUUGUUGGUGGGGUAGUGGCUUACCAAGGCUUUGACGGGUAGCCGGCCUGAGAGGGUGACCGGCCACAUUGGGACUGAGAUACGGCCCAGACUCCUAAGGGAGGCAGCAGUGGGGAAUAUUGCACAAUGGGCGGAAGCCUGAUGCAGCAACGCCGCGUGCGGGAUGACGGCCUUCGGGUUGUAAACCGCUUUCGCCUGUGACGAAGCGUGAGUGACGGUAAUGGGUAAAGAAGCACCGGCUAACUACGUG
rnacentral:rRNA from 1 species